GGUUGUCCGCUCGCCUACGACGCCGUAUGAGGAAACUACAGGUGGAAGACCAUCUUCGCUGCUCUUCCUCCUCCCGCUGCAGCUCCAAUCCUCGUCCUCCUCCUGAGCUUUGUCUCCCUGGUCGAUCGAUGUCCUUGUCCGCCCGGCAGCAAGAGCUCGCCUCUUGUGCUUAAAGCUUUGCUGAAGCGGACAUAGCGAGGCCAUCAAUCUCCAUGAACAGACCUUCCUAAAUCACUCCCAGUCACUCUCAUGCGGGCUCCUCAAUCAAACAAUGCUCACGCUCAAACAUGUGACCAAGACCAGGACUCUUCUCCUCCCCCAGUCCCUUGCCCUAGACCACGCCCUCCUAGCCACCGCCGCCGCCGCUCCUCCGCCGCCGCCGCCCUCCGCUGACCCCCUCCUCCGCGCGCCGCAGCGGGCCGGCAUCCCCGGCGCCGCCCUCAGCACGAGGGAGCUCGUGCUCUCCUUCGCGGAGUGGUUCCAGUCCAGCAAGAAUUCCCUGUUCGACCGGAUCUUCGAGAUCCUGGGCUCGAGCCCCGACGACGGCGGCGGGCCGCCCGACUCGGCGCUCUCGCGACUGGGCCUCCACCUGACGGAGCGCCUCGUGCUGGACGUCCUCGAUUACGGGUCGAGAAGGCACGGCGGCGUGCUUCCUUGCCUCAAGUUCUUCGACUGGGCGGGCCAUCAGCGCGGGUUCUACCAUACGCGCGCGACCUUCCAUGCCAUCUUUAAGAUCUUGUCGACCGCGAAGCUCAUGUCGCUGAUGAUCGACUUCCUCGAGGGCUGUCGGACGCAGAAUUACUUCCACGGGAUUAGGUUUAAUGAUACAUUAGUGAUGGGGUAUGCGGUCGCUGGGAAGCCCGAGUUUGCACUCCAGCUGUUUGGUAAAAUGCGCUUUCGGGGUUUGGACUUGGAUACGUUCGCCUAUCACGUGUUCUUGAACGCAUUGGUGGAAGAGAACUGUUUCGAUGCUGUGGAGAUGGUGGCGAAGCAGAUUUCGCUGAGGGGGUUUGAGAACGAGAUCACUCACUCGAUCAUGAUGAAAUGCUUUUGCAAGAGGAAGCAGAUGGACGAGGCGGAGGACUAUUUGCGUAGGUUGGCCAGCGAAGGGAAGAAUUUGAGCGAGCACUUGUUGUGCACGUUUGUCGAUGCUCUUUGCCGGAAUGAGAAGUUUGAGCAGGCAUGUGAUUUGGUGGAGGAGUUUGCGAAGUUAUGUGUUGUCCCAAUGGACCGUGUUUAUGGUGUAUGGUUGGGAGACCUUGUCCGAGCUGGGAAAUUAGACAGAGCCUUGGAGUUUUUUCAGUCCAAGAAGUAUUUGGAAGGAUAUAUUCCUGAUAUGUAUCGCUAUAAUAUGUUGAUAUGCAAGCUUUUGAGGCAAAAUCGUCUCGAGGAGGUGUUUGACAUGCUGAUGGAGAUGAAAGAAGCUCACAUUCUACCUGAUAAGGUCACCCUAAAUGCUACUCUAAGCUUCUUUUGUAAAGCUGGAAUGGUGGAAGUUGCCCUUCAAUUGUUUAAUUUGAGGGCUGAAUUUGGGCUGUCCAUCAACGGGAUGGCUUACAACUAUUUGAUCAAUACAUUAUGCGGCGAUGGGAGCACGGACGAAGCAUAUCGUGUUCUGAAGAACUCUAUGGUGCAAGGUCAUUUUCCAGGGAAAAAGACCUUUGACGUCCUGGCAGAUGCUUUGUGCUGUGGGGGAAAGCUUGAUAAGAUGAAGGAGUUGGUGGUUGCGGGGCUGGAUCGGAAUCUUAUGCCUAGUUUUUCCACAUUUGAAAGGUUCAUAUUGGCCCUGUGUAAUGCUCGGAGGGUAGAAGAAGCUUAUUUAAUACAUAGGGAGAUCAAUAAGGUUGCUCGUUUCACCGGGAAAACGGCUAACUUGAACUUGAUUCGUGGCUUUAACAAGUCAGGUAGGGGGGAUAUUGCGGCCAGGCUUCUUAUUGAGAUGCAAGAUAAUGGUCAUGCUGUGGGUAGGCCAUUGUUCAGGGCGGUAAUCCGCUGCUUUUUAUCCAUGGAAAAUCCAGAAAACCAAUUCCUAAGAUUCCUGGAAAUGCAGCUGUCUCGCUGUGAACCAAGCAUUGAGUUGUAUAAGAACUUCAUUGAUGGUGCUGGGUAUGCCAUGAGACCUAAACUGGCUAGAGAAGUGUACGACAUGAUGAGGAGAAAUGGCAUUCAACCCGAUGUGAAGGCUGACUUUCUCAUGCUGCAGAGUUAUCUAAAGAGCAAAAAAGUUUCGGAUGCACUCAAAUUUUUCCGCGAAAUAUGCCAAAGAAGAGAGGUUAGGACGAAACUUUACAACACCCUUAUUACUGGUCUCUGCAAGAUUGGAAAGGCAGAUGUUGCAGACAUUGCAUGGGAGUACAUGAACCAGAUGAAGGAAAAGGGUUUGGUUCCAAGCGCUGAAUGUUAUGAGCAUCUCGUGCAUGUCCGGUGCUCACUAGGGCAGUAUGAUCUUGUAUUUGAUGCUAUUGCUGACUUGAAGAAAGUCGGACACCACAUCACGACCUUUAUGGGCAAUGCGCUAUUGUUGCAUUCCUUGAAAAGCCCUAGGCUAUUCAUGGCAUGGGCUCGUUCACGCAAAGAGUAUGAGCAGAUAUCUGAGAUUUCAGAGCUCGGCAAACUCCUUGGAGCCUUUACUGGUGGAAUUAUAACCGGUGAAGAUGUCGAGGACGCAGAAGAAUUGAUCAGAUGUUGCUUCCGGCCCAAUCAUUAUACCUAUGACUUGUUACUGAGGAAACUGUGCAUGACUGAUGUGAACGGCGCUAUCGAGCUCAUCAACAGGAUAUGCAAAAAGGGGAUCGAACCUGAUGAGCGGACUUACGAAAUUCUAGCGCAGUCUCUUACCGUGCACGGAAGAGCAACCGAGGCUAAGAGAUGGCUGAAGGAGAUUAGUCGCACGUACCAGUCUAGCGGGGUUUUUAGAUAUUUGUCGGGCCGGUGGUCAUCGCCAGCCGCAAGUUCCUUGUAGCCUUUCAGAAUAGGACCUCAAUUUUGGUGAGGAAUGACGUGCUCGGCAUCCUUGUCUCAUGCUCGUGUCGAAGGUCAAGACGAGUCGACCUGUGUACAUUACAAUUUUUUCGUGAGUUAUGCUCUAGUCGAAGGAGAGAAUCGAAUCAUAUAUAAAUUCUUUGCCACUUCCUUCUUGGGCUUCAUUCUGAUUUCUGAUCUCCGAGAUCGACGGCAGCACCACAUCUGGUUUGAUACCGUGGAUGAUUUGAACGGUCGGAUUUGGUGGGCCCUUAUUGCAGUGGG